UACGUAGGGGGCAAGCGUUGUCCGGAUUCAUUGGGCGUAAAGAGCGUGUAGGCGGCCAGGUAGGUCGGUUGUGAAAACUGGAGGCUCAACCUUCAGAGGUCGACCGAAACCAUCUGGCUAGAGUCCGGAAGAGGAGAAUGGAAUUCCCGGUGUAGCGGUGAAAUGCGCAGAUAUCGGGAAGAACACCCGUGGCGAAGGCGGUUCUCUGGGACGGUACUGACGCUGAGACGCGAAAGCGUGGGGAGCGAUCCGG
rnacentral:rRNA from 1 species